rnacentral:rRNA from 2 species
ACGGGUGAGUAACACGUGGGCAACCUGCCUGUAAGACUGGGAUAACUUCGGGAAACCGAAGCUAAUACCGGAUAGGAUCUUCUCCUUCAUGGGAGAUGAUUGAAAGAUGGUUUCGGCUAUCACUUACAGAUGGGCCCGCGGUGCAUUAGCUAGUUGGUGAGGUAACGGCUCACCAAGGCAACGAUGCAUAGCCGACCUGAGAGGGUGAUCGGCCACACUGGGACUGAGACACGGCCCAGACUCCUACGGGAGGCAGCAGUAGGGAAUCUUCCGCAAUGGACGAAAGUCUGACGGAGCAACGCCGCGUGAGUGAUGAAGGCUUUCGGGUCGUAAAACUCUGUUGUUAGGGAAGAACAAGUACGAGAGUAACUGCUCGUACCUUGACGGUACCUAACCAGAAAGCCACGGCUAACUACGUGCCAGCAGCCGCGGUAAUACGUAGGUGGCAAGCGUUAUCCGGAAUUAUUGGGCGUAAAGCGCGCGCAGGCGGUUUCUUAAGUCUGAUGUGAAAGCCCACGGCUCAACCGUGGAGGGUCAUUGGAAACUGGGGAACUUGAGUGCAGAAGAGAAAAGCGGAAUU